UACGGGGGGGGCAAGCGUUGUUCGGAAUUACUGGGCGUAAAGGGCGCGUAGGCGGCCAACUAAGUCCGACGUGAAAUCCCCAGGCUUAACCUGGGAACUGCGUCGGAUACUGGAUGGCUUGAAUCCGGGAGAGGGAUGCGGAAUUUCAGGUGUAGCGGUGAAAUGCGUAGAUAUCUGGAGGAACACCGGUGGCGAAGGCGGCAUCCUGGACCGGCAUUGACGCUGAGGAGCGAAAGCCAGGGGAGCAAACGGG
rnacentral:rRNA from 1 species